rnacentral:rRNA from 1 species
GGUUAAGUUAGAAAGGGCGCACGGUGGAUGCCUUGGCACUAGGAGCCGAAGAAGGACGGGACUAACACCGAUAUGCUUUGGGGAGCUGUACGUAAGCGUUGAUCCAGAGAUUUCCGAAUGGGGGAACCCACUAUCUUUAGUCGGAUAGUAUCCUUACGUGAAUACAUAGCGUGAGGAAGGCAGACCCAGGGAACUGAAACAUCUAAGUACCUGGAGGAAGAGAAAGAAAAAUCGAUUUCCUGAGUAGCGGCGAGCGAAACGGAAAGAGCCCAAACCAAGAAGCUUGCUUCUUGGGGUUGUAGGACACUCUAUACGGAGUUACAAAAGAAAGUUAUAAAUGAAGCGGUCUGGAAAGGCCCGCCAAAGACGGUAACAGCCCGGUAGUUGAAAUGGCUUUCCCUCCAGAGUGGAUCCUGAGUACGGCGGAACACGUGAAAUUCCGUCGGAAUCCGGGAGGACCAUCUCCCAAGGCUAAAUACUCCCUAGUGACCGAUAGUGAACCAGUACCGUGAGGGAAAGGUGAAAAGCACCCCGGAAGGGGAGUGAAACAGUUCCUGAAACCGUGUGCCUACAAGUAGUUAGAGCCCGUUAAUGGGUGAUAGCGUGCCUUUUGUAGAAUGAACCGGCGAGUUACGAUUUGUUGCAAGGUUAAGCGGAAAAAGCGGAGCCGUAGCGAAAGCGAGUCUGAAUAGGGCGCAUAAGUAACAGGUCGUAGACCCGAAACCAGGUGAUCUACCCAUGUCCAGGAUGAAGGUAAGGUAAUACUUACUGGAGGUCCGAACCCACGCACGUUGAAAAGUGCGGGGAUGAGGUGUGGGUAGCGGAGAAAUUCCAAUCGAACUUGGAGAUAGCUGGUUCUCUCCGAAAUAGCUUUAGGGCUAGCCUCGAGGUAAAGAGUCAUGGAGGUAGAGCACUGUUUGGACUAGGGGCCCUUCUCGGGUUACCGAAUUCAGAUAAACUCCGAAUGCCAUGUACUUAUACUCGGGAGUCAGACUGCGAGUGAUAAGAUCCGUAGUCGAAAGGGAAACAGCCCAGACCACCAGUUAAGGUCCCCAAAUAUAUGUUAAGUGGAAAAGGAUGUGGGGUUGCUUAGACAACCAGGAUGUUGGCUUAGAAGCAGCCACCAUUGAAAGAGUGCGUAAUAGCUCACUGGUCGAGUGACCCCGCGCCGAAAAUGUACCGGGGCUAAACAUAUUACCGAAACUGUGGAUGAACCUCUUUAGAGGUUCGUGGUAGGAGAGCGUUCUAAGGGCGGUGAAGUCAGACCGGAAGGACUGGUGGAGCGCUUAGAAGUGAGAAUGCCGGUAUGAGUAGCGAAAGAAGGGUGAGAAUCCCUUCCACCGAAUAUCUAAGGUUU